GGCUUAACACAUGCAAGUCGAGGGGCAGCAUGGUCUUAGCUUGCUAAGGCCGAUGGCGACCGGCGCACGGGUGAGUAACACGUAUCCAACCUGCCGUCUACUCUUGGACAGCCUUCUGAAAGGAAGAUUAAUACAAGAUGGCAUCAUGAGUCCGCAUGUUCACAUGAUUAAAGGUAUUCCGGUAGACGAUGGGGAUGCGUUCCAUUAGAUAGUAGGCGGGGUAACGGCCCACCUAGUCUUCGAUGGAUAGGGGUUCUGAGAGGAAGGUCCCCCACAUUGGAACUGAGACACGGUCCAAACUCCUACGGGAGGCAGCAGUGAGGAAUAUUGGUCAAUGGGCGAGAGCCUGAACCAGCCAAGUAGCGUGAAGGAUGACUGCCCUAUGGGUUGUAAACUUCUUUUAUAAAGGAAUAAAGUCGGGUAUGGAUACCCGUUUGCAUGUACUUUAUGAAUAAGGAUCGGCUAACUCCGUGCCAGCAGCCGCGGUAAUACGGAGGAUCCGAGCGUUAUCCGGAUUUAUUGGGUUUAAAGGGAGCGUAGAUGGAUGUUUAAGUCAGUUGUGAAAGUUUGCGGCUCAACCGUAAAAUUGCAGUUGAUACUGGAUAUCUUGAGUGCAGUUGAGGCAGGCGGAAUUCGUGGUGUAGCGGUGAAAUGCUUAGAUAUCACGAAGAACUCCGAUUGCGAAGGCAGCCUGCUAAGCUGCAACUGACAUUGAGGCUCGAAAGUG
rnacentral:rRNA from 1 species